UCACAUGGUACCAGGAGUGGGGUGAGAAGAGUCAUGGCAGCAAACAGCAACACAAAGAACAUUCCUUCCCUGGAUUUGGACUCAGGGAACAUAUCUGAAAACUGGUCAAAGUGGAGGGAGCUGAU